GAGUAACGCGUAUGCACCUACCUUUGGCACGGGGACAGCCCGGGGAAACCCGGAUUAAUACCCGGUAUAGUCUGUUAUACACCUGUAUAAAAGACGAGAGCUACGGCGGCCAAAGAUGGGCAUGCGUGCCAUUAGUUAGUUGGUAGGGUAACGGCCUACCAAGGCAUCGAUGGCUACGGGGUCUAAAAGGAUGAGCCCGCACACUGGUACUGAGACACGGACCAGACUCCUACGGGAGGCAGCAGUGAGGAAUAUUGGUCAAUGGGUGGAAGCCUGAACCAGCCAUGCCGCGUGCAGGAAGACGGCCUUAUGGGUUGUAAACUGCUUUUCUACGGGACGAACGGCUCUGACGUGUCAGAGAUUGACGGUACCGUAGGAAUAAGCAUCGGCUAACUCCGUGCCAGCAGCCGCGGUAAUACGGAGGAUGCGAGCGUUAUCCGGAUUUAUUAGGUUUAAAGGGUGCGUAGGCUGGGCAAUAAGUCAGUGGUGAAAGUCCGCGGCUCAACCGUGGGAUUGCCAUUGAAACUGUUGUUCUUGAGUACAGUCGAGGUAGGCGGAAUGUGUAAUGUAGCGGUGAAAUGCAUAGAUAUUGCCCAGAACACCGAUUGCGUAGGCAGCUUACCAGCCUGGAACUGACGCUGAUGCACGAAAGCGUGGGGAGCGAACAGGAUUAGAUACCCUGGUAGUCCACGCCGUAAACGAUGAUCACUCGCUGUUGGCAAUAUAGAGUCAGCGGCUGAGCGAAAGCAUUAAGUGAUCCACCUGGGGAGUACGUCGGCAACGAUGAAACUCAAAGGAAUUGACGGGGGCCCGCACAAGCGGUGGAACAUGUGGUUUAAUUCGAUGAUACGCGAGGAACCUUACCUGGGCUUAAAUGUAGCCGGACGAUUCCGGAAACGGGAUUUCCUUAACGGCUGGUUGCAAGGUGCUGCAUGGCUGUCGUCAGCUCGUGCCGUGAGGUGUCGGGUUAAGUCCCAUAACGAGCGCAACCCUUAUUCUUAGUUGCCAGCGGGUAGAGCCGGGGACUCUAAGGAGACUGC
rnacentral:rRNA from 1 species